ACCAUAACGUUGGAUGCCAACCACCGAUAAACCCCACCGAAGAAGUCAUCAGGCAGAGGCAAUGGGUUUUGGACGUUGAUGGAGCACGUCAGAGAAGGAAGACGGAGACCGCGCUUGUUUGAAAUCGAAAGGUGUCACGGUAGCUUUUGAUAAAGAUUAUCAUCAAGACGAAGCAGCUGCAUUAUAAGUGGGAUGCACUGUUGACCGCAACAUCCCGAGGCGUUCGUGCUGAUUGUACGGAGAUUGUGACAGCGGGUUAAAUGGCGUCCCUUGAGAAAGCAAGAACAAGAUAUGUCAGAAGUGCAGUAUUACAUAAGGAGAUGUAUACUUGGAAAAAAUGGAUAUGGCUUGUUAAAGAAGAAUGGUAGAAAGUGUCAACUGAGUGAGCUGAAGACCGGAGGAGAAAUUGAAGUGAAUGAGGGCGAAGUAUCGGAGGUUCCCAUUUCAUGACAAGCCCAGGCUACAACAGUGGGUAGCAACUGUCAGGCGGAUGAAUUGGAAACCAACCCAACACUCUUGUCUCUGCCCAUCACUUUGAAGAUGAGUGUUUUUGGGAUGAUGACAAGGGAAAGGUCAGCCUCACUGCUUCUGCUUGUGCCCAUUAUUUUCUCCCCUGGUUGUCUUCAAAAGUGGUCACAAUGCCCCAAGGGAAGAUCAAGGAAUACAGUAGGUACAGGGGGGGAGAGUCUCCGCCAAGAAUUUACAUCCUGAGGUAACAGAACCUGGGUGUAGGAGUCAGAGGGGGAAGCCACGAUCUACACCCAGAAAGGGCCACAUCAUGACCACUGUGAUGCUGGAUGUGCAUGAUGACACCAGUGGUGUGUCAGAUGUAGGCCUACAUCACAAUGACAUAGCUGUGAUAGUGGAUGCCGGCUGCUGCUGAUUCCUUGCUUCUCACUAGGUGAUGUUGCCACACCUCAGCUGAGCAGAGGAUCCAAUAUGACAAACCAUGCAGUAAUUUCUCAAUGGUACAGCUUCUUGGUUAAAUACAAAGGUUCUCUUUCAUUUUCUCCUCUACAUUUGGAUUGACAAUGGUGCUUGUGUGCAUCUAAUAUAUUUUAUGAGCUUUGAUUAGAAGCAUAACCAAACGGCUUUAGAAGUAUAACACAGAAACUGUAGAUAACGUUAUCCAGAAAUCUUACAUACUGUUUUCUGAAAGUUAUUUUAAAACUGUAAAUCCCUAUCCUAAAGAAAAUUAUCCAACUUGUAACUCUGAUUUGGACUAUCGGUUUCUGUCAAAACACCCACACUGAUGAAAGUGAUAUUGUGGAAAGCCUAGAUAUGGAACCGCUUGGAUGAUAUCAGUCUUUGGUCAAGGCUGAUAUCAUGAGGUUAAAUCACGUCCUCUGCCUCUCACUUCUCUCCUCCACACGUGGUCAUUGCUUCAGCACGUGGACAUUGCGGUCCUCCUGAUCAAGUUCAAAUGAAGUGUUCAGUAUUCUCUGAUUCUCAACACAAGUAAAAGAGGUCUCAUACAGUGAAUAUACCAAACAUUAGGAAGAACUUCCUAAAAUUGAGUUGCACCCCCUUUUGCCCUCAGAACAGCCUCAAUUCAUUGGGUCAUGGACUCUCUUUAAAUUUGUUUUGCUCAUAAUGGUAGAUGUAUGCAUGUGUUCUCUCUCUUCUAGUUGCACAACUAAGUUUCUGACUUCCAAUGACAGUCUGCUCACUAUAAUUCCCAUCCAAUAUAUUUUUACAUGCAUGUCUGGGGAAACCCCUUAUCACCCAGUAACUCCUCCUUCAGGCUGAUUAUAUCCAUGCCCUGUUGGACACCUAUGUCCCCAGAUGCAGAGAAGAAGGAUCACCAGCUCAGCUCAUCACUGUCCAAUUUCUGGUGGGGAAAACGGACAUUGCUCAACCUGCACUUGAUUUGGCCCAUUUGCUACCCAGCCAAACAGAUUAACAUUUUAAUGCAUAAAUCCUUUAGCUUUUGCAUUUUAAAAUUGUGUGUCUCUUAAAAGUUGGCUGGUUAUUAAACAGUUUAAUAUCUUCUCAAUUAGUUAAGUUAUUUCAUAUGAAAAGAUUAGCUGUGGAUCUUUCCACUAUAUUAUUGCUUUGUGACUCUCCGACCAAUCUCUAAUCAUGUCCUGUGAAGUGGAGUUCCCCCUCCACCAAUCCCUCAGGGCUCCAAUGUUAAGUGAAACUCCAUUCUCUUAUAAACUGUGCUGAACUGAUACAGUGAACCAGCUGAAGUCGGUAUGUAAACUGACACCACUGGAGGUCUUGGCGCUAUUUGUGUAGAACAAGAAAGAAAACAAGUAGGCGGACAGUACAAGUAAACUUUAUUGAACUAUUUACAAAACAUAAGUAGGAACAGAUUAGAAUAUUGUUUACAUCAGGAUGCACAACCUUCCACUUCUGUAAGGAGUUCUUUAUUUUGCCAUUCUUACUAUGUUGAAGCACUUGAUGAUUGUUUUUGAAUAGCUGGACAGAAAUAAAGUACCUCAUGCUAAAAAGAGAAGUCAAAGAGAUCUCUUGGCAGGGGUUAAAAAGGAUAGACCCAGCAAAAUGUAUAUAUGUCAUAACUCACAAUGUCAGUGGCUCUGUAAAUACAUAAUGUUGUGACUUGUAGAAUCCUGGAGUUGGAAUAUUAUAUUACUUGUACAUAACGCUGCUUUUAUCAUACUGUGUCAUUUAGAAUGUGUAAAUGCAGCUUUACUGAUUAAUUGUCAAAUCAUAACGGCAUAACUUUUACAAAAACUUAUUUCCCCAACUUUUCAUUUUGUAACAAGUGGCAUGUUGUGUUAAAUAGAAAAUAUACAACUGCUAGGUCUCCUGAGGUGCACAUGUAGCGCUAAAUAGAGCACGUAUGAUUUAGUCCUCAAUAAGUUACAUGCAUACACAGAAUUACCUUUCAUGGUUGUGGUACCUGCAGAUUUCCCGUUCCCCAAUAGUGGUGGUGCAAAAGCAGAUUUCCCCUCCCGAAACUAGUUGCAGCCAUGCAGAUCCACGUCCCUGGCAACAUUGGCAGAGUGCCCAAAAACUAUACCGGAGUGGAGUAGUCCUAGAAAAACUGGAACUAGCAAUAUGGCAGCAGCCACGAAAUGGUCGUUGCCACAAAGUCAGAAGGCACGCCUACUUGACCAAUCAGAUGAGGGAGUAUAAUGAUGUGUAUGCCAGCCCAGAAGGCUCGCCUACCCGACCAAUCAGAUGAGGAAGUAUGAUGUCCUACUCUAUGCCGGUUUGUGGGUAAUACCUACUUAUUGAGUUGGAAAAAAAACAAAUCUCCCAUUCCACCUGAUUACAUAGGUGGCGUGCCACAUUCACCAUAUGAAUGGUGUGAUUGGUAAAAUGAUGUCCACCUUUUAAUGGGGUGAUUGUUGUCUAAUCUGGUGCCCAUUCAAUGGUGUUCUGUUUCAAGUUGCGGAAUGCCAUCUUGUAAGAAUGCCAUCUGGGGAAAGGCAGACAAACGAAAGAGAAAUAUCCUGCUGAAAAGGGCAGUAAGUUCAAAGGCUGUUCACUGGAAUUUAAACCAUACACUUUUACAACAAAUUUUGAAUUCCCAACUAACAAUGGAAUGUUCCUCAAUAAAACCGUAAAAGCCUUGGUUUCAUGCAUUUUAACAUUAGAAGUCUCCUCCCUAAAUUUGUUUUAUUCACUGCUUUAGCCCACU